rnacentral:lncRNA from 1 species
AUGAAUCUGUCUAGCCUUUAUUUGGAUGGGACUGCAAUUAAGGAGCUGCCUACUUCUAUUUUAAAUCUCACCAGUCUUGUUACUUUGAAGUUGAAUGAUUGCAGAGAACUUGAGAGUCUUCCAAGCAGCAUUUCUCACAUGAAAUCUCUUAAAUACCUUUAUGUUUCUGGAUGCUCAAAGCUUGAGAAGUUUCCAGAAAUUUCAGAGGUUAUGAAGGAGCUAUCUAUUCUUUGUUUGGGUGGCAAUGCAAUUAAGGAGCUGCCUGCUUCUAUUUUAAAUCUCACCAGUCGUUAUACUUUGAAGCUGAAUGAAUGCAGAGAACUUGAGAGUCUUCCAAGCAGCAUUUCUCACAUGAAAUCUCUUAUAUACCUUGAUGUUUCUGGAUGCUCAAAGCUUGAGAAGUUUCCAGAAAUUUUGGAGGUUAUGAACGAGCUAUCUACGCUUUGUUUGGGUGGCAAUGCAAUUAAGGAGCUGCCUGCUUCUAUUUUAAAUCUCACCAGUCUUGUUACUUUGAAGUUGAAUGAUUGCAGAGAACUUGAGAGUCUUCCAAGCAGCAUUUCUCACAUGAAAUCUCUUAAAUACCUUUAUGUUUCUGGAUGCUCAAAGCUUGAGAAGUUUCCAGAAAUUUCAGAAGUUAUGAAGAAGCUAUCUGAGCUUUGUUUGGAUGACACUGCAAUUAAGGAGCUGCCUGCUUCUAUUUUAAAUCUCACCAGUCUUGUUAUUUUGAUGUUGAAUGAUUGCAGAGAACUUGAGAGUCUUCCAAGCAGCAUUUUUCACAUGAAAUCUAUUAAAUACCUUUAUGUUUCUGGAUGCUCAAAGCUUGAGAAGUUUCCAGAAAUUUCAGAGGUUAUGAAGGAGCUAUCUAUUCUUUGUUUGGGUGGCAAUGCAAUUAGGGAGCUGUCUGCUUCUAUUUUAAAUCUCACCAGUCGUGAUACUUUGAAUCUGAAUGAUUGCAGAGAAUUGAGAGUCUUCCAAGCAGCAUUUCUCACAUGAAAUCUCUUAUAUACCUUGAUGUUGCUGGAUGCUCAAAGCUUGAGAAGUUUCCAGAAAUUUUAGAGGUUAUGAAGGAGCUAUCUAAGCUUUGUUUGGGUGGCACUGCAAUUAAGGAGCUGCCUGCUUCUAUUUUAAAUCUCACCAGUCUUGUUACUUUGAAUCUGAAUGAUUGCAGAGAACUUGAGAGUCUUCCAAGCAGCAUUUCUCACAUGAAAUCUCUUACAUACCUUGAUGUUUCUGGAUGCUCAAAGCUUGAGAAGUUUCCAGAAAUUUUAGAGGUUAUGAAGGAGCUAUCUAAGCUUUGUUUGGAUGGCACUGCAAUUAAGGAGCUGCCUGCUUCUAUUUUAAAUAUCUCCAGUCUUGUUACUUUGAAGUUGAAUGAUUGCAGAGAACUUGAGAGUCUUCCAAGCAGCAUUUCUCACAUGAAAUCUCUUGAAUACCUUGAUGUUUCUGGAUGCUCAAAGCUUGAGAAGUUUCCCGAAAUUUUAGAGGUUAUGAAGGAGCUAUCUAAGCUUUGUUUGGGUGGCACUGCAAUUAAGGAGCUGCCUGCUUCUAUUUUAAAUCUCACCAGUCUUGUUACUUUGAAGUUGAAUGAUUGCAGAGAACUUGAGAGUCUUCCAAACAACAUUUCUCACAUGAAAUCUCUUGAAUACCUUCAUGUUUCUGGAUGCUCAAAGCUUGAGAAGUUUCCAGAAAUUUCAGAGGUUAUGAAGAAGCUAUCUGAGCUUUGUUUGGAUGGCACUGCAAUUAAGGAGCUGCCUGCUUCUAUUUUAAAUCUCACCAGUCUUGUUACUUUGAAGUUGAAUGAUUGCAGAGAACUUGAGAGACUUCCAAGCAGCAUUUCUCACAUGAAAUCUCUUAAACACCUUGAUGUUUCUGGAUGCUCAGAACUUGAGAAGUUUCCAAAAAUUUCAGAGGUUAUGAAGAAGCUAUCUGAGCUUUGUUUGGGUGGCACUGCAAUUAAGGAGCUGCCUGCUUCUAUUUUAAAUCUCACCAGUCUUGAUACUUUGAAUAUGAAUGAUUGCAGAGAACUUGAGUCUUCCAAGCAGCAUUUCUCACAUGAAAUCUCUUAUAUACCUUGAUGUUUCUGGAUGCUCAAAGCUUGAGAAGUUUCCAGAAAUUUUAGAGGUUAUGGAAAAGCUAUUUGAGCUUUGUUUGGGUGGCACUACAAUUAAGGAGUUGCCUGCUUCUAUUUUAAAUCUCACCAGUCUUGUUACUUUGAAUCUGAAUGAUUGCAGAGAACUUGAGAGUCUUCCAAGCAUCAUUUCUCACAUGAAAUCUCUUAAAUACCUUGAUGCUUCUGGAUGCUCAAAGCUUGGGAAGUUUCCAGAAAUUUUGGAGGUUAUGAAGGAGCUAUCUAAGCUUUGUUUGGGUGGCACUGCAAUUAAGGAGCUAC